CAAUUGCUGCACUCUUCCUCUCCAAAGUACACAGAUUCAUUCUCCAUGCCAUGCAGCAGCUGCCAGGGAAUACGGGGGGAAGAGUGGCAUCAGUGAUUCAAGACUGUCUCCUACCCUCUUCAGUGCCUCUUUCAGCAAUAUGAAUUUAAAACUAGGCCUUUGGACUCACACUGGAACUAACACCAUUGGCUUUCCUCAGUCUCCGGCCUUUGCACUUGGACUAGAAUUCUAUCAUUGGCUCUCCUAUGUCUCCACCUUGCCAAAUGAAGAUCUUGGGACUUCUCAGACUUCAUAAUCAUGUAGUAAGAAGAAUCUGGUUCCUGUUACUCCAUCUUGAUUAGAAAUAGAAAUUCCCACAAUCUAUUUUGACCCCUGUUUUAUAGCUUCAAGGUAAUGUAAGUAAUACAAUUUUUAAAUAAAUGGUGUCAUUGAUCAAGAUUUUUAGUCAAAUUUUGCUAUUCUCAUUCUCUUUUUUUGUUUUUUUUUCGUUUUGUUUUUGAGACGGUGUCUCGCACUGUCGCCUGGGCUGGAGUGCAGUGGUGCUAUCUCGGCUCGCUGCAGCCUCCGCCUCCUAGGUUCAAGCGAUUCUCCUGUCUCAGCCUCCCAAGUAGCUGGGAUUACAGCUGCCAGCUACCAUGCCUGGCUAAUUUUUUGUAUUUUUAGUAGAGACGGGGUUUUACUAUGUUGACCAGGUGGGUCCCGAACUCCUGACCUUGUGAUCCACCUGCCUCGGCCUCCCAAAGUGUUGGAAUUACAGGAAUAAGCCACCAUGCCCAGCCUAUUUUUCUUAUAUUAUGUCAUUCAGGGACUGUGUCCUUUGAUUCUAACCAAUGCAGGAUUUUUUUUAUCCAUAUGUAUCGAACAAGGUCAAUAAUAAAAGAAAUGAUUGAAUUUGCAUUGGAAAAUAAAUAUUUCCUUCUCCUCAUACUUCUUGGAGAAUGUUUUAAC
rnacentral:lncRNA from 10 species